UAGAGGAAGUAGGUAAUGAUAUAUAAGAUUAAAGGGACAAUGAGUAUGGUCAGGUGUAUUUGAAUCCUGUGUCAAUUCUACAGCUGUGUGACCUGAGAGAAGGCACUGAACAGAGAGCCUCCUUUUCCUCAUCUGAACAAUCAGGGGUCCUCUCCACUGCAGAGGAGAUGGAAGAAGAGCCUUUUAGGCAGUGGAGUUGGUCCUUUCCAAUUACAAAUGAGUUAAGCAUUAUUAUCUUCAUUUUAAGAAAAAGGAAACCAAAGCCAAGAGAUGCUCAGUGACUUCCUUGCUUCCUCUCCUCAAAAGUCAAGAAUGUAAGUCAAGUAUGGUGGUGCAUGCCUAUAACCCUAAUAUCUUAGGAGGCUGAAGCAGAAAGAUCUCAAGUUUAAGCCUAGCCUGGGAGAAUUAGUGAGACUUUGUCUCAAAAUAAAAACUUUAAAAAAUAGCAGGGAUGUAGCUCAUUAUGAAGGUUCUGAGUUCAAAUCUCACUACUGCAAAAAUGUAAAAAAUACAAAAAACGAAAGCUCUAGAAUGUAACAUGUUCAUUGGGAGAGGGUAACUACAGAUGAUGACUAGACUUAGGAAAGUAUCCCUGGUGGUGAAGAAUUCCCAGAUCCAUAAAGGACAAAUGUGGAGCAGUCAUUCCAAUACAUUGCUGAGUGGACAAGCUGCCACCCAAAGAAUUAACAACUGUGUGUUCAUGUGUUUGCUCAUGUGUGCAUGUGGGGGAGGGCUUUACUCUAAAAAAUUCUGCUUCCGUGGCCAUGAGGUAGGCCUAGAAACACUAUUUUCAUCAGAAUCUCAGGAGAUUCCUACAGGCAGCCAGGUUUGAAGGCAGCUGGCUAAGGGAAUUCACUAAAUUUCCCUGAUUGAGUCUUGGUUAGUCUACACCACUGGUCCAAAACGCUGCAUAUCUGACUCACCUGGAGGAGAUUUUUAAAAUACUGAUAAUUGGGCCCUACCUCCAGAGAUUAAAUUGGUCUGGUAGUUCAGUCUAGGCACUGGUAUCUUUGAAAAGCACUCCAGACAAUUCUAAUGUGUAGCUGGGGUUCAGAGUACUAAUCUAAGUCAGUCAUAAUAAUUAUAACUUCUUUGCCACAUGAUUGGAUUCAGCUUGGCAGGAGACACAGUUCUGUGUUGUUCUGGGGAAGGCUGCUUUGUUCUUAAAAAGCAACACAAAGCAAAUUUGUUACUUCUUUCAGUCUUUCAAUUUUGUUGAGUUAUAGUGUGAUACUUGGAGCUGUUGCAGCUAUCUUAUGACAGUGAGGGGACAGGUCUGAGAACAAAAGUCAAGAGUUGUGAAUGGUAGAAUAGAAAGAUGGAAGGAACUGGAGUCCUUGAUGUUGAAUAAACCAAUUAUUAAAACACCCUUCUUUAGGAUUUCUUCUAUUGGAAUAAACAAUGUGCUUAUUGUUGAA